UGGGGAAUUUUGGACAAUGGGCGAAAGCCUGAUCCAGCAAUGCCGCGUGUGUGAAGAAGGCCUUCGGGUUGUAAAGCACUUUUGUCCGGAAAGAAAUCCUUGGCUCUAAUACAGUCGGGGGAUGACGGUACCGGAAGAAUAAGCACCGGCUAACUACGUGCCAGCAGCCGCGGUAAUACGUAGGGUGCAAGCGUUAAUCGGAAUUACUGGGCGUAAAGCGUGCGCAGGCGGUUUGCUAAGACCGAUGUGAAAUCCCCGGGCUCAACCUGGGAACUGCAUUGGUGACUGGCAGGCUAGAGUAUGGCAGGAGGGGGGUAGAAUUCCACGUGUGAGCAGUGAAAUGCGUAGAGAUGUGGAGGAAUACCGAUGGCGAAGGCAGCCCCCUGGGCCAAUACUGAC
rnacentral:rRNA from 1 species